GUGAAUCAUCGAAUCUUUGAACGCACAUUGCGCCCGCCAGUAUUCUGGCGGGCAUGCCUGUUCGAGCGUCAUUUCAACCAUCAAGCCCCGGGCUUGUGUUGGGGACCUGCGGCUGCCGCAGGCCCUGAAAACCAGUGGCGGGCUCGCUGUCACUCCGAGCGUAGUAGUUACAUCUCGCUCAGGGCGUGCUGCGGGUUCCGGCCGUUAAACCCCCCAUUUUACAAGGUUGACCUCGGAUCAGGUAGGAAGACCCGCUGAACUUAAGCAUAUCAAUAAGCGGAGGA
rnacentral:misc_RNA from 1 species